GACGAACGCUGGCGGCGUGCUUAACACAUGCAAGUCGAACGGAAAGGCCCUGCUUCUGUGGGGUGCUCGAGUGGCGAACGGGUGAGUAACACGUGAGUAACCUGCCCUUGACUUUGGGAUAACUUCAGGAAACUGGGGCUAAUACCGGAUAGGAGCUCCUGCUGCAUGGUGGGGGUUGGAAAGUUUCGGCGGUUGGGGAUGGACUCGCGGCUUAUCAGCUUGUUGGUGGGGUAGUGGCUUACCAAGGCUUUGACGGGUAGCCGGCCUGAGAGGGUGACCGGCCACAUUGGAACUGAGAUACGGCCCAGACUCCUACGGGAGGCAGCAGUGGGGAAUAUUGCACAAUGGGCGGAAGCCUGAUGCAGCAACGCCGCGUGCGGGAUGACGGCCUUCGGGUUGUAAACCGCUUUCGCCUGUGACGAAGCGUGAGUGACGGUAAUGUGUAAAGAAGCACCGGCUAACUACGUG
rnacentral:rRNA from 1 species